rnacentral:rRNA from 1 species
GAUGAACGCUGGCGGCGUGCCUAAUACAUGCAAGUCGAGCGAGCAGACGAGGAGCUUGCUCCUUCGACGUUAGCGGCGGACGGGUGAGUAACACGUAGGUAACCUACCUAUAAGACUGGGAUAACUUCGGGAAACCGGAGCUAAUACCGGAUAAUAUUUCGAACCGCAUGGUUCGAUAGUGAAAGAUGGCUUUGCUAUCACUUAUAGAUGGACCUGCGCCGUAUUAGCUAGUUGGUAAGGUAACGGCUUACCAAGGCAACGAUACGUAGCCGACCUGAGAGGAGGAGCAGCCACACUGGAACUGGGACACGGUACAGACUCCUGCGGGAGGGAGCAGUGGGGAAUAUUGGAGAAAGGUCGCAAGCCUGAUCAAGCCAUAACGCGGGGGUGAAGAAGGCCUUCGGGUUGGAAAGCACUUUGGUUGGGAAAGAAAAGCAGCGGGUUAAUACCCCGCUGUUCGGACGGGACCCAAAGAAUAAGCACCGGCUAACGUCGUG